rfam:Syntrophus sp. GWC2_56_31 gwc2_scaffold_13906, whole genome shotgun sequence.
UAUCCCCUGCGAUGUGCGUGAUUAACGUUCGUUUUUUGAACCAACACCUUGGAACCGGGAACCUUGCCUCGUUAGCGGUGUGCAUGUCCGACUUCCGCGCAAGCGGGUGAUGGAAAGCCUGAAGCAACGAUAUGUGGUGCCCACUUUUCAAACGGUUCAAAAGGUAGUUAACACGGCAUAGGCGGGGUUUUU